rnacentral:rRNA from 1 species
GACGAACGCUGGCGGCGCGCUUAACACAUGCAAGUCGAACGGAAAGGCCUGCUUUCCCUUGUGGAUUGCGGGUACUCGAGUGGCGAACGGGUGAGUAACACGUGAGUGAUCUGCCCCCAACUUGGGUAUAAGCCUGGGAAACUGGGUCUAAUUCCCGAUAGGACUGCAGGGUGGUGCCUGUGGUGGAAAACGAUUUUCUAGUGGUUGGGGAUGAGCUCGCGGCCUAUCAGCUUGUUGGUGGGGUAAUGGCCUACCAAGGCGGCGACGGGUAGCCGGCCUGAGAGGGUGGACGGCCACAUUGGGACUGAGAGACGGCCCAGAAUCCUACGGGAGGCAGCAGUGGGGAAUAUUGCACAAUGGGCGGAAGCCUGAUGCAGCGACGCCGCGUGGGGGAUGACGGCCUUCGGGUUGUAAACUCCUUUCGACCGCGAGGAAGCCACCUGGUUGGAAGGGUGGUGACGGUAGUGGUAGAAGAAGCACCGGCUAACUACGUG